CUACUCCUUACGGGUCCCCAUAACCUGGAACGGACUGUGGCCUCCUAGGGGUGACAGCGAGGUCGGCCGAGGGGCGAGCGACCCGCCCCCCCCUUACCUGCGCUAACAGAACACCCGGGCUGUGCUGGACGAGCCGCUUCUGUGCCCCAGCGGAGGCUGGGCUCACUCCCCCGGGGCCCGGGUCCCUUCUGUGUCACCAUCUUUCUGCAGAAGCGUGACCCCAGGCCUGCCCAGGUCCUGGGGAAGGGCGCUGUAGGCUCCUGACGACCAGCUCUGUAACACUGCUCAAGAAGCAUCCGGAAGGGAGCGGUGGAGUCGCACAGGAGACUGGACUCAGCUGCUUCUGGGAGGGGAUCCUCAGCUUCCCGGUCCCUGAUUCCAUUCACCUGGCUGUGGGGAGGGCACAGGGGGUCCUAGGGGUGCCUCCCCCGUCACGCACACCGGCAUACAACCGCAGCCCCCCGCCCCCGCCACAGCACCCUUCCUCACCCCUCCGCCGCGCCCCUCCUCCCCCUCCACCGGGUUCUUCCUCUCCCGAAGCCGCCCGACCAGUGUCAGUCCUCCCUGGCGGUGCUCCCUGCCUCUGCUUCCUUAAUCUCAGACUGUUCUGAGAUUAGCAAGCCUCCGUAGCUUCUCGCGGUCUAGUUUUGCCGGUUCACCUGCCCACCCCAGCGAGGGGUGGCGGCUUCCUGGCACCCUGUGUGGGAGACCCCAUCCUGGCUCUAUCAGGGGACGUGCUGUGGUCCGUGGGUGCGGCUUUCCCGGGCCGGGGGAGCUGGGUCACCGUGCAGGGGCCAGGGUCCUCCCAGUGCUGACCUAGGGCCUGAACACGGCUGCCCCUGUACCUCCGACUCUGACCUUCCCUGCACCUGCUCCCUGCCCCCAUCUCUGUCUCUGCACGUCCCGACCGCUGCCCUCUGAGGCGUCCUCAGGAACACACGGCAGAGGCGUCCAGGCAGGGCAGUAAACCCCAGGCACGUCUGAGUGGAGUCCCCGCUGGCUGGCCGGAUGCUAGGGAGACGCGGGGGAAAGUUUAUUCCAUCUCUCUCGAUCUGAAAGAGGCUCUCAGGGCGCCGAGGGGACAGUCGCUUCUGGGGUGCUGGUGCGCUGACUGGGGAGGGUCCAGCGCUCUCCCAGGACAGCGAACAGUCCGGCCCCUCAAACCCCCUUUCCAUUCUUUCGUUAAAAAAUGGCUCGUAAUCGUUUGUC
rnacentral:lncRNA from 1 species